GGCUGCUAGCCCUUCAAAAUAUUGAAGCAGCAAUGAAGGAGGCGAAUGCCAUUGAAAAACAAAAUUUGAAGGCCUUCAUUGCUGCUAAUAAUGAAAUAAAUAAGUUGUUAAAAGAUGCAAUUGAAAAAUUAGGCUAACAUUACCAUGUUAGCCUACUUUUUCAGUUGCUUAGCGGCUUAGCCAAUUGAAAAAUUGCUAUGUUAGCCUAAUUUUUCAAUUGCCUCUCAGCAAAUUGUAUCUCUCAUUAUUACAAAGAAAUACUUCCUUGAUUAGUCAGUAUUAGUUUACUUCAUUAUUCUAAUUGUAUAAAAUUUCAAGUUAAUAGUUGUAGUUAGUUCUAGUUUUCAAUACGGUAAUCAAGUUUUUAGUUGUAGUUAGGUAUACUUGUCCAAUAAUUAAUAAUCAAGUUAUUAGUUGUAGUUAGGUCUAGUUUUUCAAUAAUCACAAUAAUAAGUGAUAAUAAUCAAUUUAUUUGCUCAUGAGUCUUCGCUCAUACAAAUACAAUUUUUGAGUUGACUAUCUAGCUUAAUAUCCUACAACAAUAUAUCAUUUUACAACUUUAAUAACACAUGUUAAUUAUAUAAAUUGAUGAAAAAACUCAGGAAUACAUAGAGAAUAUAAUAAAUAUCUGUUAUAGAAUGAUAUGAAAUACUUAAGAUAUACGUUUAAGAUAAUAACAAUAUAUUACUGUAGGUACACUAUGAUAAUCAGCCAAACUAAUAAUAAGUAAUUUAUUCUACUCUAAAAAUAGAAAUAUUUAACUAGCACAAAUAAAUACUAGUAAUACAAAGUAAUAUGUUGUGUCUUUUUGCAUUAUUUUAAUUUGCUAAUAAACUACUUUCAAAUAAGUUAUAGCCAUAACAAUAAAAACAAACAAUGAAAAUCGAAUGAAUGAAAUUAAAAUGUAAGAAAGCAUUAUUGAAUUGAAAAAAUGUUUUUGUACUUUCAAUAAUCAUAAUAGCAACUAAUAUAUUUCACUCUAAUUAUAGUAAUUGCACAAAUGAAAACUAUUAAUCAAUGUAUUUUUUUGUCUUCUUCAAAGUAUUUACAUGGAAACACAGUGCCUAGAGUACAACUGUGUAAUAAAAUCUUUUCUUACGUA